AAUGAGUCUAUGGAAGCAAACCCCUAGUGACGUCUUAAAGCAAAUCAUUGGAAGGCCAGUUGUGGUCAAAUUAAAUUCAGGAGUGGAUCACCGAGGGGUCCUGGCUUGCCUGGAUGGCUAUCUGAAUAUAGCCCUAGAGCAGUUGGAAGAGUGUGUUAAUGGACAGCUGAAGAAUAAACAUGGGGAUGCAUUUAUCCAAGGAAACAUUGUAUUGUACAUAAGUAUACAGAAGAAAAGGGUGUGAAGACACAAAGGAAGCAAUGUUUUUCAUCGUUGGAAUAUAAUUUUUAUGAAAUCU